rnacentral:rRNA from 1 species
GAUGAACGCUAGCGACAGGCUUAACACAUGCAAGUCGAGGGGCAGCGAGGGAGUGGCAACACUUCUGUCGGCGACUGGCGCACGGGUGAGUAACGCGUAUGCAACCUGCCCUUCACAGGGGGAUAACCGGGAGAAAUUCCGACUAAUACCGCAUACGUCCUCCGGGGGCAUCCCCGGGGGAUGAAAGAGUUAUCGGUGAAGGAUGGGGAUGCGUCUGAUUAGCUUGUUGGCGGGGUAACGGCCCACCAAGGCGACGAUCAGUAGGGGUUCUGAGAGGAAGGUCCCCCACAUUGGAACUGAGACACGGUCCAAACUCCUACGGGAGGCAGCAGUGAGGAAUAUUGGUCAAUGGGCGAGAGCCUGAACCAGCCAAGUAGCGUGCAGGAUGACGGCCCUAUGGGUUGUAAACUGCUUUUAUAGGGGAAUAAAGUGAGCCACGUGUGGUUUUUUGCAUGUACCCUAUGAAUAAGGACCGGCUAAUUCCGUG